rnacentral:rRNA from 1 species
CACGUAGGGGGCAAGCGUUGUCCGGAUUUAUUGGGCGUAAAGAGCUCGUAGGCGGCUCGGUAAGUCGGGUGUGAAACCUCCAGGCUCAACCUGGAGACGCCACCUGAUACUGCUGUGGCUAGAGUCCGGUAGGGGAGUGUGGAACUCCUGGUGUAGCGGUGAAAUGCGCAGAUAUCAGGAGGAACACCGGUGGCGAAGGCGGGUCUCUGGGCCGUAACUGACGCUGAGGAGCGAAAGCGUGGGGAGCAAACAGG